rnacentral:tRNA from 1 species
GGCCGGUUAGCUCAGUCGGUUAGAGCGUGGUGCUGAUAACACCAAGGUCAUGGGUUCAAUUCUGUUUGGUCC